rnacentral:rRNA from 1 species
AGUAGGUGAGUGAUGGGGUGACGCAGGAAGGUAGUCCAUCCCGGGCGGUGGUUGUCCCGGGGUAAGGGUGUAGGCCGCAAGGUAGGUAAAUCCGCCUUGCAUACGGCUGAGACCUGAUGCCGAGCCGAUUGUGGUGAAGUGGAUGAUCCUAUGCUGUCGAGAAAAGCCUCUAGCGAGUUUCAUGGCGGCCCGUACCCUAAACCGACUCAGGUGGUCAGGUAGAGAAUACCGAGGCGUUCGGGUGAACUAUGGUUAAGGAACUCGGCAAAAUGCCCCCGUAACUUCGGGAGAAGGGGGGCCACACUCGGUGACCGGAUUUACUCCGUGAGCUGGGGGUGGCCGCAGAGACCAGCGAGAAGCGACUGUUUACUAAAAACACAGGUCCGUGCGAAGCCGUAAGGCGAUGUAUACGGACUGACGCCUGCCCGGUGCUGGAACGUUAAGGGGACCGGUUAGUCCAGAUUCGUCUGGGCGAAGCUGAGAACUUAAGCGCCAGUAAACGGCGGUGGUAACUAUAACCAUCCUAAGGUAGCGAAAUUCCUUGUCGGGUAAGUUCCGACCUGCACGAAUGGCGUAACGACUUCUCGACUGUCUCAACCAUAGGCCCGGUGAAAUUGCACUACGAGUAAAGAUGCUCGUUUCGCGCAGCAGGACGGAAAGACCCCGGGACCUUUACUACAGUUUGAUAUUGGUGUUCGGUUCGGCUUGUGUAGGAUAGCUGGGAGACUUUGAAGCUCGCACGCCAGUGUGGGUGGAGUCGUCGUUGAAAUACCAGUCUGGUCGUGCUGGAUGUCUAACCUGGGUCCGUGAUCCGGAUCAGGGACAGUGUCUGAUGGGUAGUUUAACUGGGGCGGUUGCCUCCUAAAGAGUAACGGAGGCGCCCAAAGGUUCCCUCAGCCUGGUUGGCAAUCAGGUGUUGAGUGUAAGUGCACAAGGGAGCUUGACUGUGAGACCGACGGGUCGAGCAGGGACGAAAGUCGGGACUAGUGAUCCGGCGGUGGCUUGUGGAAGCGCCGUCGCUCAACGGAUAAAAGGUACCCCGGGGAUAACAGGCUGAUCUUCCCCAAGAGUCCAUAUCGACGGGAUGGUUUGGCACCUCGAUGUCGGCUCGUCGCAUCCUGGGGCUGGAGUCGGUCCCAAGGGUUGGGCUGUUCGCCCAUUAAAGCGGUACGCGAGCUGGGUUUAGAACGUCGUGAGACAGUUCGGUCCCUAUCCGCUGUGCGCGUAGGAGUCUUGAGAAGGGCUGUCCCUAGUACGAGAGGACCGGGACGGACGAACCUCUGGUGUGCCAGUUGUCCUGCCAAGGGCAUGGCUGGUUGGCUACGUUCGGGAGGGAUAACCGCUGAAAGCAUCUAAGCGGGAAGCCUGCUUCGAGAUGAGGACUCCCACCCCCUUGAGGGGUUAAGGCUCCCAGUAGACGACUGGGUUGAUAGGCCGGAUCUGGAAGCACCGUGAGGUGUGGAGGUGACCGGUACUAAUAGGCCGAGGGCUUGUCCUCAGUUG